GCUUAUCACCAUUACAGAUUGAAUAUACCCGAUCUCGUCUGAUCUCGGAAGUCAAGCAAUCUCGGGCUUGGUUAGUACUUGGAUGGGUGACCGCUUGGGGAUACCAAGUGUGAUAAGCA
rnacentral:rRNA from 1 species